GAUGAAGAACGCAGCGAAAUGCGAUAAGUAAUGUGAAUUGCAGAAUUCAGUGAAUCAUCGAAUCUUUGAACGCACAUUGCGCCCCUUGGUAUUCCGAGGGGCAUGCCUGUUCGAGCGUCAUAUUAACCACUCCCGCUUGCGGGGUCUUGGGCUUCGCCUCCGGGCGGGCCUUAAAAUCAGUGGCGGUGCCGUCGGGCUCUACGCGUAGUAAAUUUUCUCGCGAUAGGGUCCCGGUGGAUGCUUGCCAACAACCCCCAACUUCUUAAGGUUGACCUCGGAUCAGGUAGGGAUACCCGCUGAACUUAAGCAUAUCAAAGCGGAGGA
rnacentral:misc_RNA from 1 species